rnacentral:rRNA from 1 species
GACGAACGCUGGCGGCGUGCUUAACACAUGCAAGUCGAGCGGUAAGGCCCUUUCGGGGGUACACGAGCGGCGAACGGGUGAGUAACACGUGGGUGACCUGCCCUCAGCUCUGGGAUAAGCCUGGGAAACCGGGUCUAAUACCGGAUAUGACUCCAUGACGCAUGUUGUGGGGUGAAAGCCUUGUGCGGCUGAGGAUGGGCCCGCGGCCUAUCA